rnacentral:rRNA from 1 species
UACGUAGGGGGGCAAGCGUUGUCCGGAUUUAUUGGGCGUAAAGAGCGUGUAGGCGGCCAGGUAGGUCCGUUGUGAAAAACUCGAGGCUCAACCUCGAGACGUCGAUGGAAACCAUCUGGCUAGAGUCCGGAAGAGGAGAGUGGAAUUCCUGGUGUAGCGGUGAAAUGCGCAGAUAUCAGGAGGAACACCAGUGGCGAAGG